GUUAACUAGAACUGUGAGGUUUUGACAUAAAGAACUAAGUGGUGAAUAAAACAAAAGAAUUCCUGUACUAAAAUUGUGGGUCCGGGGAAGCACAAGUUGGAGUAUUAGAAAGCAUGUGUACACCGAGUAAGCCAAAUAUCUGUUUUGUCAACUAAGACUGACAGCAACCUGUAUCACAACUGAAUAAAUCGUUUUAAUUUCUGUGUUAAGGAACACUCGCUUGACUAGCUUGUGUAAUUAUUUAAACUGCUCAUCUUUACCUCUUUGAUCAGAAUAAUCCCAAGAAAGCACAUGAAAAAAUUGAGUCUGAAUCGUAAAUCUAAAAUGUGCAAGCCUGGUAUCUAGUGAAAAUCAAGUGAGCUUGCAUGUACAGCUAAAUAUAUCAAGAGAAGCAUGCAUUUUUAAAUGAUGACUAUUGGUUGAAUAUAUUUGGUAAGUUUUUUAGAUUCUGUAAGCCUAAUAUUGAAUAUUGGGUGGGGAAAUAAGCCAUUGUUCAUUUGGGUGUGUUUGGCUUGGAUAUCAUUAUAAAGACUGGUUCCAAGCUCCACCCCAAUGCACUUUAGCUCUGAUGAAAUUUAUUUAAGAUGCCUUGGUGUAAGAUCUAACAAUGUGCCUACACUGAGAGUUUAUGUGGAGUGGACUUUAAAAUUUCAUCAGAGUUUGGUACUUACUGUUUUACUCUACUUAAACAGUUGGGUGAAUCUUGAUUGUGUUCCACUUUCUUAGAAAGAACCAGGGUAAAUCAACUUAAGAUCUUGUUA